UUCUUAUCAAGAGCGGUGGAGGGACUGGCCCAAUGAAACCCGGCAACCCGCAUCGUACAAGAUGCGAAGGUGCCAAUUCCUGCAGGACGAAAUGUCCUGAGAGAUAAGAA
rnacentral:ncRNA from 1 species